rnacentral:rRNA from 1 species
CGCGGCCUAUCAGCUUGUUGGUGGGGUAAUGGCCUACCAAGGCUUCGACGGGUAGCUGGUCUGAGAGGAUGUCCAGCCACACUGGGACUGAGACACGGCCCAGACUCCUACGGGAGGCAGCAGUAGGGAAUCUUGCGCAAUGGGCGAAAGCCUGACGUAGCGACGCCGCGUGCGGGAUGAAGGCCUUCGGGUUGUAAACCGCUUUCAGCAGGGACGAAAUUGACGGUACCUGCAGAAGAAGCCCCGACCAACUACGUGCCAGCAGCCGCGGUAAUACGUAGGGGGCAAGCGUUGUCCGGAUUUAUUGGGCGUAAAGAGCUCGUAGGCGGUUCGGUAAGUCGGAUGUGAAAUCUCCACGCUCAACGUGGAGGGGCCAUUCGAUACUGCCAUGACUUGAGUCCGGUAGGGGAGUGUGGAAUUUCCGGUGUAGCGGUGAAAUGCGCAGAGAUCGGAAGGAACACCCGUAGCGAAGGCGGCACUCUGGGCCGGUACUGACGCUGAGGAGCGAAAGCGUGGGGAGCGAACAGGAUUAGAUACCCUGGUAGUCCACGCCGUAAACGUUGGGCACUAGGUGUGGGACUCUAUCGACGGGUUCCGUGCCGUAGCUAACGCAUUAAGUGCCCCGCC